GUCUGGUCUGAUGGUAGUGCCCCCACUAAAGUUAUUGAUGUUAGUUACAGUAAGCUUUCUAUGCUCCACCCCACUGCUAACCUUGACUGGUCUUUU
rnacentral:Y_RNA from 1 species